rnacentral:rRNA from 1 species
AGAUUAAGUUAUUAAGGGCGCACGGUGGAUGCCUUGGCACUAGAAGCCGAUGAAGGACGUUACUAACGACGAUAUGCUUUGGGUAGCUGUAAGUAAGCGUUGAUCCAGAGAUUUCCGAAUGGGGGAACCCAGCAUGAGUUAUGUCAUGUUAUCGACAUGUGAAUUCAUAGCAUGUCAGAAGGCAGACCCGGAGAACUGAAACAUCUUAGUACCCGGAGGAAGAGAAAGAAAAAUCGAUUCCCUGAGUAGCGGCGAGCGAAACGGGAAUAGCCCAAACCAACAAGCUUGCUUGUUGGGGUUGUAGGACACUCUAUACGGAGUUACAAAAGAACAUGUUAGACGAAUCAUCUGGAAAGAUGAAUCAAAGAAGGUAAUAAUCCUGUAGUCGAAAACAUAUUCUCUCUUGAGUGGAUCCUGAGUACGACGGAGCACGUGAAAUUCCGUCGGAAUCUGGGAGGACCAUCUCCUAAGGCUAAAUACUCUCUAGUGACCGAUAGUGAACCAGUACCGUGAGGGAAAGGUGAAAAGUACCCCGGAAGGGGAGUGAAAGAGAACUUGAAACCGUGUGCUUACAAGUAGUCAGAGCCCGUUAAUGGGUGAUGGCGUGCCUUUUGUAGAAUGAACCGGCGAGUUACGAUCUGAUGCAAGGUUAAGCAGCAAAUGUGGAGCCGCAGCGAAAGCGAGUCUGAAUAGGGCGUUGAGUAUUUGGUCGUAGACCCGAAACCAGGUGAUCUACCCUUGGUCAGGUUGAAGUUCAGGUAACACUGAAUGGAGGACCGAACCGACUUACGUUGAAAAGUGAGCGGAUGAACUGAGGGUAGCGGAGAAAUUCCAAUCGAACUUGGAGAUAGCUGGUUCUCUCCGAAAUAGCUUUAGGGCUAGCCUCAAGUGAUGAUUAUUGGAGGUAGAGCACUGUUUGGACGAGGGGCCCCUCUCGGGUUACCGAAUUCAGACAAACUCCGAAUGCCAAUUAAUUUAACUUGGGAGUCAGAACAUGGGUGAUAAGGUCCGUGUUCGAAAGGGAAACAGCCCAGACCACCAGCUAAGGUCCCAAAAUAUAUGUUAAGUGGAAAAGGAUGUGGCGUUGCCCAGACAACUAGGAUGUUGGCUUAGAAGCAGCCAUCAUUUAAAGAGUGCGUAAUAGCUCACUAGUCGAGUGACACUGCGCCGAAAAUGUACCGGGGCUAAACAUAUUACCGAAGCUGUGGAUUGUCCUUUGGACAAUGGUAGGAGAGCGUUCUAAGGGCGUCGAAGCAUGAUCGCAAGGACAUGUGGAGCGCUUAGAAGUGAGAAUGCCGGUGUGAGUAGCGAAAGACGGGUGAGAAUCCCGUCCACCGAUUGACUAAGGUUUCCAGAGGAAGGCUCGUCCGCUCUGGGUUAGUCGGGUCCUAAGCUGAGGCCGACAGGCGUAGGCGAUGGAUAACAGGUUGAUAUUCCUGUACCACCUAGUAUCGUUUUAAUCGAUGGGGGGACGCAGUAGGAUAGGCGAAGCGUGCUGUUGGAGUGCACGUCCAAGCAGUAAGGCUGAGUGUUAGGCAAAUCCGGCACUCAUAAGGCUGAGCUGUGAUGGGGAGAGGAAAUUGUUUCCUCGAGUCGUUGAUUUCACACUGCCGAGAAAAGCCUCUAGAUAGAUAACAGGUGCCCGUACCGCAAACCGACACAGGUAGUCAAGAUGAGAAUUCUAAGGUGAGCGAGCGAACUCUCGUUAAGGAACUCGGCAAAAUGACCCCGUAACUUCGGGAGAAGGGGUGCUCUUUAGGGUUCACGCCCAGAAGAGCCGCAGUGAAUAGGCCCAAGCGACUGUUUAUCAAAAACACAGGUCUCUGCUAAACCGUAAGGUGAUGUAUAGGGGCUGACGCCUGCCCGGUGCUGGAAGGUUAAGAGGAGUGGUUAGCUUCUGCGAAGCUACGAAUCGAAGCCCCAGUAAACGGCGGCCGUAACUAUAACGGUCCUAAGGUAGCGAAAUUCCUUGUCGGGUAAGUUCCGACCCGCACGAAAGGCGUAACGAUUUGGGCACUGUCUCAACGAGAGACUCGGUGAAAUCAUAGUACCUGUGAAGAUGCAGGUUACCCGCGACAGGACGGAAAGACCCCGUGGAGCUUUACUGUAGCCUGAUAUUGAAAUUCGGCACAGCUUGUACAGGAUAGGUAGGAGCCUUUGAAACGUGAGCGCUAGCUUACGUGGAGGCGUUGGUGGGAUACUACCCUAGCUGUGUUGGCUUUCUAACCCGCACCACUUAUCGUGGUGGGAGACAGUGUCAGGCGGGCAGUUUGACUGGGGCGGUCGCCUCCUAAAAGGUAACGGAGGCGCUCAAAGGUUCCCUCAGAAUGGUUGGAAAUCAUUCAUAGAGUGUAAAGGCAUAAGGGAGCUUGACUGCGAGACCUACAAGUCGAGCAGGGUCGAAAGACGGACUUAGUGAUCCGGUGGUUCCGCAUGGAAGGGCCAUCGCUCAACGGAUAAAAGCUACCCCGGGGAUAACAGGCUUAUCUCCCCCAAGAGUUCACAUCGACGGGGAGGUUUGGCACCUCGAUGUCGGCUCAUCGCAUCCUGGGGCUGUAGUCGGUCCCAAGGGUUGGGCUGUUCGCCCAUUAAAGCGGUACGCGAGCUGGGUUCAGAACGUCGUGAGACAGUUCGGUCCCUAUCCGUCGUGGGCGUAGGAAAUUUGAGAGGAGCUGUCCUUAGUACGAGAGGACCGGGAUGGACAUACCUCUGGUGUACCAGUUGUCGUGCCAACGGCAUAGCUGGGUAGCUAUGUAUGGACGGGAUAAGUGCUGAAAGCAUCUAAGCAUGAAGCCCCCCUCAAGAUGAGAUUUCCCAACUUCGGUUAUAAGAUCCCUCGAAGAUGACGAGGUUAAUAGGUUCGAGGUGGAAGCGUGGUGACACGUGGAGCUGACGAAUACUAAUCGAUCGAAGACUUAAUCAAUUUUUAAA